rnacentral:rRNA from 1 species
CCUUGCCAGCCCGCUCAGAAACUCAAAUGAAUUGACGGGGGCCCGCACAAGCGGUGGAGUAUGUGGUUAAUUCGAUGCAACGCGAAGAACCUUACCUGGUCUUGACAUCCCGGAGACCCUUAGGAAACUAGGGGGUGCUUCCAUCUGGAAGAAUCUGGAGACAGGUGCUGCAUGGCUGUCGUCAGCUCGUGUCGUGAGAUGUUGGGUUAAGUCCCGCAACGAGCGCAACCCUUGCCUUUAGUUGCCAGCAGUUCGGCUGGGCACUCUAAAGGGACUGCCGGUGUUAAACCGGAGGAAGGUGGGGAUGACGUCAAGUCCUCAUGGCCUUUAUGACCAGGGCUACACACGUACUACAAUGGCCGAUACAAAGGGCAGCGACACUGCGAGGUGAAGCCAAUCCCGUAAAAUCGGUCUCAGUCCGGAUUGGAGUCUGCAACUCGACUCCAUGAAGUUGGAAUCGCUAGUAAUCGUGGAUCAGCAUGCCACGGUGAAUACGUUCCCGGGCCUU